UAACGCGUGGGUAACCUGCCUCAUACAGGGGGAUAACAGUUAGAAAUGACUGCUAAUACCGCAUAAGCGCACAGGGCCGCAUGGUCCGGUGUGAAAAACUCCGGUGGUAUGAGAUGGACCCGCGUCUGAUUAGCUGGUUGGUGAGGUAACGGCCCACCAAGGCGACGAUCAGUAGCCGACCUGAGAGGGUGGCCGGCCACAUUGGGACUGAGACACGGCCCAAACUCCUACGGGAGGCAGCAGUGGGGAAUAUUGCACAAUGGGGGAAACCCUGAUGCAGCAACGCCGCGUGAGUGAAGAAGUAUUUCGGUAUGUAAAGCUCUAUCAGCAGGGAAGAGAAUGACGGUACCUGACUAAGAAGCCCCGGCUAACUACGUGCCAGCAGCCGCGGUAAUACGUAGGGGGCAAGCGUUAUCCGGAUUUACUGGGUGUAAAGGGAGCGUAGACGGCUGUACAAGUCUGAAGUGAAAGCCCGUGGCUCAACCGCGGAACUGCUUUGGAAACUGUAAAGCUGGAGUACUGGAGAGGCAGGCGGAAUUCCUAGUGUAGCGGUGAAAUGCGUAGAUAUUAGGAGGAACACCAGUGGCGAAGGCGGUCUGCUGGACAGCAACUGACGCUGAGGCGCGAAAGCGUGGGUAGCGAACGGGAUUAGAUACCCCGGUAGUCCACGCCGUAAACGAUGAAUACUAGGUGU
rnacentral:rRNA from 1 species